rnacentral:rRNA from 1 species
GACAGAGGGUGCAAACGUUGUUCGAAUUUACUGGGCGUAAAGCGCGUGUAGGCGGCUUUGCAAGUCGGAUGUGAAAGCCCACGGCUCAACCGUGGAAGUGCAUCCGAAACUGCAUGGCUGGAGUCUCGGAGAGGAAGGUGGAAUGCUUGGUGUAGAGGUGAAAUUCGUAGAUAUCAAGCAGAACACCUGCGGCGAAGGCGGCCUUCUGGACGAUGACUGACGCUGAGACGCGAAGGCGUGGGGAGCAAACAGG